rnacentral:misc_RNA from 1 species
GAUGAAGAACGUAGCGAAAUGCGAUAAGUAAUGUGAAUUGCAGAAUUCAGUGAAUCAUCGAAUCUUUGAACGCACAUUGCGCCCGCCAGUAUUCUGGCGGGCAUGCCUGUUCGAGCGUCAUUACAACCCUCAGGCCCCCGGGCCUGGCGUUGGGGAUCGGCGGAGCCCCCCGUGGGCACACGCCGUCCCCCAAAUACAGUGGCGGUCCCGCCGCAGCUUCCAUCGCGUAGUAGCUAACACCUCGCGACUGGAGAGCGGCGCGGCCACGCCGUAAAACACCCAACUCUUCUGAAGUUGACCUCGAAUCAGGUAGAAAUACCCGCUGAACUUAAGCAUAUCAAUAAGCGGAGGA